rnacentral:tRNA from 1 species
GGUCCGGUGGUGUAAGGUGAACAUCGCUGCCCGGAAAGCAGAAGUUGCGGGUUCGCGUCCCGCCUGGCGCCA